CAUCAUCAUCAGUUUCCUCACAGCUGACAACAGACUCACUGAGGACUGGAGUUUGUUUUCAACUCUUGAUAACAUCAACAUGACGUGUUUCCUCUUAUGCAAACAUUCCUGAAAACAUUCACACUUGUGUUCUCUUUGUGUAUGUGUAGAUUUGUAUCUGUAGAGAAGCAUUAUUGUGUGUUUCAGGAUCUCUUGUGUGUUUUUCUUAAGAUGUUCUGUGGGGAUGAUUUUUACUGGCUCCUUUGGGGUAUAUAUAUCCGAAGAGUUUUGGCUCUGUUUAUUUUUAUUACAUUUUAUUGUGCUUUCCAAUUAAUAUCAAUUAAUGAUUAGAUUUCUAAUUUUGGAACCAAACUCAUCAUAUAUGUUUGUGGGAUUUCUUUUUGUUUCCAUCUAAAGAAUGUUGGCAGUUUGAGGUAAAACAGCAUCUGUCAUGAUAAAAGCAGAAUGAUUCUGUGAGUUUCUCAUUGUAAACGUCUUUUCACGAGAAAAUGUGCAACAAUGAUUCACAAAACAUCCAUCCCAUUACAGUCAGAGUCUGUUACUUUGUAUUAUGCAUUAACAUGAGCUGACAGACUCUGUUUUCUUUCUCUAGUUCUGGAUCUACAUCAUUCUGUCACGAUGACAUCACACGACUCACCCACUCCACCCAACAGAGGAGAGAUUGAGUGCCAGACCCCGAUACUGCCCAUCCUCAGACUCUGACCUAUGGCCAACUCCAGAUAGAGUAACGGCAGACCCUCAAACACCAGAGCGAUCAGGUAUGGAAAUCUCCAAACAUUCCCGAGUCCAACAGCAAAUCCAAUACAGAUCACAGGAAUCCAACAUAUUCUCUUCCUACUUCUACAUAUACAUAAAGGAAGACCUAAGAGACGUCAAAAGAGCACAAUGUCUGACAUCAUUCAGAUUUUCCAUCGGUUGGUUUGAAAGUAAAGCCUCAGAUCC